rnacentral:rRNA from 1 species
GGGGAAUAUUGGACAAUGGGCGCAAGCCUGAUCCAGCCAUGCCGCGUGAGUGAUGAAGGCCUUAGGGUUGUAAAGCUCUUUCAGUGGGGACGAUAAUGACGGUACCGGAAGAAUAAGCACCGGCUAACUUCGUGCCAGCAGCCGCGGUAAUACGAAGGGGGCUAGCGUUGUUCGGAAUUACUGGGCGUAAAGCGCACGUAGGCGGAUAUUUAAGUCAGGGGUGAAAUCCCAGAGCUCAACUCUGGAACUGCCUUUGAUACUGGGUAUCUUGAGUAUGGAAGAGGUAAGUGGAAUUGCGAGUGUAGAGGUGAAAUUCGUAGAUAUUCGCAGGAACACCAGUGGCGAAGGCGGCUUACUGGUCCAUUACUGACGCUGAGGUGCGAAAGCGUGGGGAGCAAA